CGUAGGGUGCAAGCGUUAAUCGGAAUUAUUGGGUUUAAAGGGUGCGUAGGCGGUUUUCUAAGUCAGCAGUGAAAUACGGCAGCUCAACUGUCGAGGUGCUGUUGAUACUGGGAACUUGAGUACUGAUGAGGUAGGCGGAAUGGACGGUGUAGCGGUGAAAUGCUUAGAGAUCGUCCAGAACACCGAUAGCGAAGGCAGCUUACUAAGGAGUAACUGACGCUGAGGCACGAAAGUGUGGGGAUCAAACAGGAUUAGAUACCCUGGUAGUCCACACUGUAAACGAUGAUUACUCGAUGUGUGCGAUACACGGCACGCGUCUUAGCAAAAGCGAUAAGUAAUCCACCUGGGGAUACGCCGGCAACGGUG
rnacentral:rRNA from 1 species